rnacentral:misc_RNA from 1 species
UCUCCGUUGGUGAACCAGCGGAGGGAUCAUUACCGAGUUUACAACUCCCAAACCCCUGUGAACAUACCAUUUGCUGCCUCGGCGGUGCCUGCUUCGGCAGCCUGCCAGAGGACCCAAACCCUUGAUUUUAUACAGUAUCUUCUGAGUAAAUGAUAAAAUAAAUCAAAACUUUCAACAACGGAUCUCUUGGUUCUG